GACGAACCGAGCGAACGUUGUUCGGAAUUACUGGGCGUAAAGGGCUCGUAGGCGGCCAACUAAGUCAUACGUGAAAUCCCUCAGCUUAACUGGGGAACUGCGUGUGAUACUGGAUGGCUUGGAUUUGGGAGAGGGAUGCGGAAUUCCUGGUGUAGAGGUGAAAUUCGUAGAUAUCAGGAGGAACACCGGUGGCGAAGGCGGCUUCCUGGACACUUACUGACGCUGAGACGCGAAAGCGUGGGGAGCAAACAGG
rnacentral:rRNA from 1 species